ACGAAGUGAGUGGCGGACGGGUGAGUAACACGUGGGUAACCUGCCCAGAAGCAGGGGAUAACACCUGGAAACAGAUGCUAAUACCGUAUAACAGAGAAAACCGCCUGGUUUUCUUUUAAAAGAUGGCUCUGCUAUCACUUCUGGAUGGACCCGCGGCGCAUUAGCUAGUUGGUGAGGUAACGGCUCACCAAGGCGAUGAUGCGUAGCCGACCUGAGAGGGUAAUCGGCCACAUUGGGACUGAGACACGGCCCAGACUCCUACGGGAGGCAGCAGUAGGGAAUCUUCCACAAUGGACGCAAGUCUGAUGGAGCAACGCCGCGUGAGUGAAGAAGGGUUUCGGCUCGUAAAGCUCUGUUGUUAAAGAAGAACGUGGGUGAGAGUAACUGUUCACCCAGUGACGGUAUUUAACCAGAAAGCCACGGCUAACUACGUGCCAGCAGCCGCGGUAAUACGUAGGUGGCAAGCGUUAUCCGGAUUUAUUGGGCGUAAAGCGAGCGCAGGCGGUCUUUUAAGUCUAAUGUGAAAGCCUUCGGCUCAACCGAAGAAGUGCAUUGGAAACUGGGAGACUUGAGUGCAGAAGAGGACAGUGGAACUCCAUGUGUAGCGGUGAAAUGCGUAGAUAUAUGGAAGAACACCAGUGGCGAAGGCGGCUGUCUGGUCUGUAACUGACGCUGAGGCUCGAAAGCAUGGGUAGCGAACAGGAUUAGAUACCCUGGUAGUCCAUGCCGUAAACGAUGAUUACUAAGUGUUGGAGGGUUUCCGCCCUUCAGUGCUGCAGCUAACGCAUUAAGUAAUCCGCCUGGGGAGUACGACCGCAAGGUUGAAACUCAAAAGAAUUGACGGGGGCCCGCACAAGCGGUGGAGCAUGUGGUUUAAUUCGAAGCUACGCGAAGAACCUUACCAGGUCUUGACAUCUUCUGCCAACCUAAGAGAUUAGGCGUUCCCUUCGGGGACAGAAUGACAGGUGGUGCAUGGUUGUCGUCAGCUCGUGUCGUGAGAUGUUGGGUUAAGUCCCGCAACGAGCGCAACCCUUAUUACUAGUUGCCAGCAUUCAGUUGGGCACUCUAGUGAGACUGCCGGUGACAAACCGGAGGAAGGUGGGGACGACGUCAAAUCAUCAUGCCCCUUAUGACCUGGGCUACACACGUGCUACAAUGGAUGGUACAACGAGUCGCGAAACCGCGAGGUUUAGCUAAUCUCUUAAAACCAUUCUCAGUUACGGACUGUAGGCUGCAACU
rnacentral:rRNA from 1 species